rnacentral:rRNA from 1 species
AUUGAACGCUGGCGGAAGGCCUAACACAUGCAAGUCGAACGAGUGGCGGACGGGUGAGUAAUGUCUGGGCAACUGACCGAUGGAGGGGGAUAACUAAUGGAAACGGUAGCUAAUACCGAAUACCAUCGGCUGAGCCCAGAUGGGACUAGCUAGUGGGUGGGGUAACGGCUCACCUAGGCGACGACCCCUAGCUGGUCUGAGAGGAGGACCAGCCACCCUGUAACUGAUACACGGUCCAGACUCCUACGGGAUGCAGCAGUGGGGAAUAUUGCACAAUGGGCGCAAGCCUGAUGCAGCCAUGCCGCGUGUAUGAAGAAGGCCUUCGGGUUGUAAAGUACUUUCAGCGAGGAGGCGUUACUCGCAGAAGAAGCACCGGCUAACUCCGUGCCAGCCGCCGCGGUAAUUC